UACGUAGGGGGCUAGCGUUGUCCGGAAUCAUUGGGCGUAAAGCGCGUGUAGGCGGCCCGAUAAGUCCGCUGUGAAAGUCCAGGGCUCAACCCUGGGAUGCCGGUGGAUACUGUCGGGCUCGAGUCCGGAAGAGGCGAGUGGAAUUCCUGGUGUAGCGGUGAAAUGCGCAGAUAUCGGGAAGAACACCCGUGGCGAAGGCGGCUCUCUGGGACGGUACUGACGCUGAGACGCGAAAGCGUGGGGAGCGAACAGG
rnacentral:rRNA from 1 species